rnacentral:rRNA from 1 species
UACGGAAGGCAGCAGUGGGGAAUAUUGCACAAUGGGCGCAAGCCUGAUGCAGCCAUGCCGCGUGUAUGAAGAAGGCCUUAGGGUUGUAAAGUACUUUCAUCGGGGAGGAAAAAACAAAAACUAAUAAUUUUAUUUCUUGACGUUACCCGAAAAAGAAAGCACCGGCUAACUCCGUGCCAGCAGCCGCGGUAAUACGGAGGGUGCUAGCGUUAAUCAGAAUUACUGGGCGUAAAGAGCACGUAGGUGGUUUUUUUAAGUUCAGAUGUGAAAUCCCUGGGCUUAACCUAGGAACUGCAUUUUGAAACUGAAAUACUAGAGUAUCGUAGAGGGAGGUAGAAUUCUAGGUGUAGCGGUGAAAUGCGUAGAUAUCUGGAGGAAUACCUGUGGCGAAAGCGGCCUCCUAAACGAAUACUGACACUGAGGUGCGAAAGCGUGGGGAGCAAACAGGGAUUAGAUACC